rnacentral:rRNA from 1 species
UACGUAGGGGGCAAGCGUUGUCCGGAAUCAUUGGGCGUAAAGCGCGUGUAGGCGGCUCGAUAAGUCUGCUGUGAAAGUCCAGGGCUCAACCCUGGGAUGCCGGUGGAUACUGUCGAGCUCGAGUCCGGAAGAGGCGAGUGGAAUUCCUGGUGUAGCGGUGAAAUGCGCAGAUAUCAGGAGGAACACCAAUGGCGAAGGCAGCUCGCUGGGACGUGACUGACGCUGAGAAGCGAAAGCAUGGGGAGCGAACAGG